rnacentral:rRNA from 1 species
AUGAUGCCUAUCAACUGUUUAAAAGAUGGGUUCUGCUAUCACUCUUGGGAUGGGACCCUGCGGUGCAUUAGCUAGUUGGUAGGGUAACGGGCCUACCAAGGCGAUGAUGCAUAGCCCGAGUUGAGAGACUGAUCGGGCCACAUUGGGGACUGAGACACGGGCCCAAAACUCCUACGGGGAGGCAGCAGUAGGGAAUCUUCCACAAUGGACGCAAGUCUGAUGGAGCAACGCCGCGUGAGUGAAGAAGGGUUUCGGCUCGUAAAGCUCUGUUGUUGGUGAAGAAGGACAGGGUAGUAACUGACCUUUGUUUGACGGUAAUCAAUUAGAAAGUCACGGCUAACUACGUGCCAGCAGCCGCGGUAAU